ensembl:lincRNA Gm26637 predicted gene, 26637
AGGAGUUGGAGGGUAUUUGGCUGUGGCCCAGAACCACCAAGUCCCUUUUCCUGCAACCGCUAUCCAGGAGUGGGAAAAUAGCCCUCAGGUCUUACCAAAGUUUCUGGAUCCGGACAGUGGCUCGCUCCCUGGAGCAGGAUUCGAAUUGUACUUCAGGUGCAGGCUCUGAAAUCUAUUCGCCCUCCGUUCCCUGCCGCUGCUGCUGCCCAUGGAAGUCCGGGCCUGGCCGGUUCUCUUCUGUUUCGUUUUCCCGGCGGACUCCGCCUUCCCACACUGCUCUGGGCCCCUCCCGCACCGGCUCGCACCCGCGAGAAGUCAGGUAGGCGUGUCGCCUCUGUACCCCAGCGCGGGAGCCAAGGUCCGGGCCCGCCUCCCCUCUCCUGUGCAACUGCAGUAACUGCCAGCUUCUCCAGGUUUCGGACACUUCCUGGCUUCCAUUCUGGGAAAGCUCUGCAGGAAGAAGAAGGAGAAACCCAAGCCUCCUGCUCCUGGAUCAAUGAUCACAAUCUACUUUUCAAAACAAACUUUGAGGAAGCAACUGGGCACAUGGAUGCUACCGAAUUCCGAUGUGCAGUGGGAGAUACUGAGUAACUCGCCUCUCAGAGGGUCCAGCCAAGCUAUGUCUGUGACAAUUGAAGUCCAGGUCUUCAUAUAAUAUGAACUUAACAUUUUCAUCAUCAAUAUGUUUGUUCCAAUUAAUUGCAAAAUCAAAGUAACUUCCCCAAGAAACUAAAAAGCACAGGAGAAAAAAAAAGUAAGACACUGUUCAUAACUGAGGAAAACAGAUAUCACACAUAUGGGUAAAUGAUCAAGAGAGGUUGUGUGUAUUACAAGUCUGUCUCCAGGAGGUGGAAUACACUGCCUCACUGUCCAUACCCACCCGUGUCUUACUUCCUUGAACAUUUGCCAUUAGUGAUACAACUGAGCAAGCUCUAAGAUUCCUCAGAGAUAACGCAAUAACUCAGAAAGAGGGAACAGGCCUGAGCUUCCUUUCUGUUGUUGUGAUAGAAUAUUCUGACGCAAGCAACUUCAGCAGAGAGUUUGCUUCACUUUGCAAUUCAAGAUCACGUCCACCCUUGUGGGGAAGUCAUCAUGGCGGGAGCUUGGUCGGCCAAUCGUGGUGUCCCUAAUGUCUUCGUUUGCCUCUGUGUGUUGGAUUUCGGAAUUUUGCAAGGAAAAAAAUCCUGUCCAAGUUAUGACUGUCACAUCUUGUUGCUUAUCAACUGAGCAGAAAGAAUGAACGCAGAGGAUGGAGAGGAUUCUUCAUGUUGUCCCACAAGUCACAAAAAUCAUCACUGAAUGUUCCCUUGAGGUAUUGUAUAUGUAUGGAGUGGUGUCACAUAUGUAUGGAGUGGUGUCACAUAUGUAUGGAGCGGUGUUACAUAUGUAUGGAGCAGUGUUACAUAUGUAUGGAGCAGUGUUACAUAUGUAUGGAGCAGUGUUACAUAUGUAUGGAGCAGUGUUAUAUAUGUAUGGAAUGGUGUCACAUAUGUAUGGAGCGGUGUCACAUAUGUAUGGAGUGGUGUCACAUAUGUAUGGAGUGGUGUCACAUAUGUAUGGAGCGGUGUCACAUAUGUAUGGAGCGGUGUCACAUAUGUAUGGAGCGGUGUCACAUAUGUAUGGAGCGGCGUUACAGAUUUGCCCUGCCUGACUCUACAAAGUGUUUCUAGACAACAGAAGCAGGCUGACUGGUGCUGCACAGUAAUGCAUCUCCUUGUGAGCUUUCCUUGCUGCUAUGACUCGAUCCAAUAUUUAUCUUUUCCAGGGAGCUGGUACCGUAUGUAGUGUCCAUGUACUCGGAAUGCUGUGGGAUUUGCUAUAUCAAAUACCCUUUAGACUGGCCUUCACAGAUUGUGGUAUAUAGAUAGAACAUGGAAUAUUCAAAUAGUGAUGCUGGCAUCCAUGGCAUAAAUGAAUUGGGAGGCAUCAUGUAGGCAAAUAUAUGGCAGAAAGCAAAAUAUUGGUCUCAUCUACAUGUUGGAUCUUUUUAAAGGUUGAGUAACACAGAAAGCAGGAUGGUGCCAGGGAUGCGAAGGAAGGCAAUUACAACUCUGAUGUAACUUUGGAGCGCUGAGUUGUGAAUAAGUCUAGUAAGCUAAUGUACAGCCUAAGGAUUAGAGUUAUGAAUCCAGUGUUGCAUAAUGAAGUAGUGUUUGCUAAGGGACCAGCAAACAUAUACUACUCUUUCUCUAUACACAACAAAGCAGCUGUGUGACAUGAUGGCUUGACUUCAGUAGUCAUUUCACAUGUGUAUGUGUAGCAAAACACAGUGUCCAUGUUAAACAUCAUUUUAAUAAAUAGAUUGAGAG